GAAGUGAAUCCUCGAAAUCCGAGGAUUAGACUUCGGUUUGGAAUCGACUAUUCGUCGAGUGUGUAAGCUUUGGUAAGUCCGAAGGCGAUUUUAAUGCAUAAAGUGCAUUAAGGAAGGGUCCGCGAGAGCACCAAGUGCAAAACUUGCACUGGAGCAGAAAUGCUCUCGGGGACCGGUCCCUGGCAGGGAGGGACCGGUCCCUGGCAGGGAGGGCAGGCUGGGCUGCGGAGGUCUCUGAUGAGACCGGUCCCUGGCAGGCAGGGACCGGUUCCCGAACGUCAGCCCAGCGAGAAUCGCCGAAAUUUGGCUAAGUCCCGAGAAUCCAACUUUCGG
rnacentral:lncRNA from 1 species